AUACUACUCCCUCCGUCCCAAAAUAAGUGACUCAAAAAUGACUUAACUUUGUACUAACUUUAGUGUAAAGUUGAGUCAUUUUUGAGUCACUUAUUUUGGGACGGCGGGAGUACUUG
rnacentral:pre_miRNA from 1 species